rnacentral:rRNA from 3 species
UUGACCUCCGAUCAGGUAGGGAUACC